UUCAUCAAGAGAGGCGGAGGGAAUAGGCCCUGUGAAGCCCGGCAACCUAAUUUUAAGGUGCCAAGUCCUACAGAUUAAUCUGAAAGAUGA
rnacentral:ncRNA from 1 species